rnacentral:rRNA from 1 species
AACUACUCGAAAGAGUAGCUAAUACCGCAUACGAUCUGAGGAUGAAAGCGGGGGACCUUCGGGCCUCGCGCGAUUGGAGCGGCCGAUGGCAGAUUAGGUAGUUGGUGGGAUAAAAGCUUACCAAGCCGACGAUCUGUAGCUGGUCUGAGAGGACGACCAGCCACACUGGGACUGAGACACGGCCCAGACUCCUACGGGAGGCAGCAGUGGGGAAUUUUGGACAAUGGGCGAAAGCCUGAUCCAGCAAUGCCGCGUGCAGGAUGAAGGCCUUCGGGUUGUAAACUGCUUUUGUACGGAACGAAAAAGCUCCUUCUAAUACAGGGGGCCCAUGACGGUACCGUAAGAAUAAGCACCGGCUAACUACGUGCCAGCAGCCGCGGUAAUACGUAGGGUGCGAGCGUUAAUCGGAAUUACUGGGCGUAAAGCGUGCGCAGGCGGUUAUGUAAGACAGAUGUGAAAUCCCCGGGCUCAACCUGGGAACUGCAUUUGUGACUGCAUGGCUAGAGUACGGUAGAGGGGGAUGGAAUUCCGCGUGUAGCAGUGAAAUGCGUA